rnacentral:rRNA from 1 species
CAGUAUCCACGGUAAUACAGAGGGUGCGAGCGUUAAUCGGAUUUACUGGGCGUAAAGCGUGCGUAGGCGGCUUUUUAAGUCGGAUGUGAAAUCCCUGAGCUUAACUUAGGAAUUGCAUUCGAUACUGGGAAGCUAGAGUAUGGGAGAGGAUGGUAGAAUUCCAGGUGUAGCGGUGAAAUGCGUAGAGAUCUGGAGGAAUACCGAUGGCGAAGGCAGCCAUCUGGCCUAAUACUGACGCUGAGGUACGAAAGCAUGGGGAGCAAACAGGAUUAGAUACCCCGUAGUCCCUGUCUCUUAUACA